rnacentral:misc_RNA from 1 species
AACGCAUCUUGCGCUCUUGGGAUAUGCCCGGGAGCAUGCCUCUUUGAGUAUCGGUUCUAACUCUACUCGCCUGCGUGCUGUAAUGGCACGUUAAGGCGGAAAAUGGUCGUCUUGCUUGGCAACGAGCAAGUCAACUUAAAGUUAUGGUGCUUUAUGACUGUACCGUUUUGCCUUUGGUUCGGAUUUCCGAAUCGAUUUGGUCUAACGAAACGAGCUUGUUAUUUCAACCCUGGUUCAUUCGCAUGGGACAACUCGUGUCAUCUAGCUGAUGUUUGGUAAUUCACCUUUACGGUGAUCUUUUCUUACAUCGCGGCUAGGACACUCUAGGUUGUGUGAUGUGGAAUCGUGGGGAUGAGCUUUGUUUCACCACUAAUCGAAUGGGAAAAUCGAGCAUAUCGAAGACAUAUUAAUCGCUGCAGUUCGCGCACCCAAAAUCAAGUAAAUAGGCUUGGACAAGCUCAAUGCUUGUCUCUUCGGUCUAUUUCUUUUUAUUGAAUUUUGAUCUCAAAUGAAGCAAGAUUACCCGCCGAAUUUAA